UCUCUCAGCCGUUGCUGCGAUCUCUCCGCCGUAGCUGCCAUCUCUCCGCCGUAGCUGCCAUCUCUCCGCCGUAGCUGCCAUCUCUCCUCAGUAGCUGCCAUCUCUCCGCCGUAGCUGCCAUCUCUCCUUGGAUGAAGUAGAACUACACUUCUUUCCAAACCUAACAGCUUGAAGAUAAAGCUGAAUUAUAAAAGAUAUCUCCCCUAUCAACCCUGAGUGCUAGAUCAAGUCCUGUAACCCUUUAAGCUGAUCUUACCUGUACCUUCUAUUCCCCAGUCUCUGUCGGGAUAACAAUAGUUGUGUACGAGAUAUGUUGGCUAAGAUCUAAAGAGCUGUUAACCUCCGGCCUAAUCAACUUUGUAAGUGCAUUUUUAAAUCACAUUAAUAUGUCAUGAAAUAUUCACAUUACACACCUGGAGCAAAUUUUAUUGGCUAACUAUACAUGUUUAUUAUUUUACGAUUUAUUUAAUAUUCAUAAUA